rnacentral:lncRNA from 1 species
AAGGCUUGCGGUUCUCACUGCAAGGUUCAGCAGGACUGAGGAAGGGUUCUGUUAGGUUUCCCUGCAUUUCAGGAGGGGCUUGACCUUCUUGCUGUCAGCAGAACCAACACUGUCUGGAGGCAUCAUCCCAGGGCGACAUGAAGAAAGUUCCAGAAAUACUGUUAACAUCCACUGCCCCACCAACACGCCCACGCUGUGGAGACAGUAGUUGUCGAGGCUGCAGAAAAUUUAUUACCAGUGUCGCGGUGUUUGCUAAGACAGAAAGCUUCCAUCUCAUGCUUUUGAGUUCACCAGAGAAUAAAAUUUGAUCAUUACCAUGCUUGUCUGAAACUAGAUUAAUAAAGGCAAAAU